AAAAAAGUUAUAUCAACAAGACUAUUAAUACCCUUACUCAGAGAUGAAAUGUUGUUUUCAUUUCUAGAGUCUAUAUGCGUAAUAUGAUCACAAGUUUUAUCUUUAAACUGACACUCGAUUUGCUCCAUAAUGUUUGUCUCGGGUACCUAAGACCGGCCUGUUAUUCUAAUGUCUUCACACAACGCCUAACGUCCUCCCUGGACUCAACGGCAACAAGAAGACAGAUAAACAGAUAUAGGUUUUGAAACAAACAACUGUGAAACAAAUAGAAAUGUAAAUCAAAGAUAAAAACUUACAAUGAAUAUUAGAAUAUUAUUUCUCCAGAAACUCGUUACACCGGCACCUCUGAUACCAAGCGGGGGUGGGGAGGAAGGGUAGUAUAGAGUAUGAGCGGAAGGGAAUAUAGACUCUUUGAUUACAAAAGGAAAAUUUACAAAAGAGAAAACUAAAAAAUAAAGUAGUUGGUAAUUUUCAACAUGAAACGUUUCAAUGCUCAAGAAGCCCUUGAAUAUGGACUCAUUGAUCGUAUUGUCAGACUACGUAUCAAGGCAGAUGCACCUUGCACAGAUGCAGGAGCAGGCCUCGCUGAGUCACUUGAAUCGGUCAGAAAUAGAACAGAGUUGAAGCUACAUAAACAAGCCAUAAACAAAUC